rnacentral:rRNA from 1 species
AUGAACGCUAGCGACAGGCCUAACACAUGCAAGGUCAGGGGCAGCACAAGAGCAAUCUGAGGUGGCGACCGGCGCACGGGUGAGUAACACGUAUGCAACCUGCCUGUAAGCGGGGAAUAACCCGUUGAAAGACGGACUAAUACCGCAUAAUACUAAAUUACUGCAUGGUAAUUUAUUUAAACAUUUAUGGCUUACAGAUGGGCAUGCGCAUGAUUAGCUAGUUGGAGAGGUAACGGCUCCCCAAGGCAACGAUCAUUAGGGGUUCUGAGAGGAAGGUCCCCCACACUGGUACUGAGACACGGACCAGACUCCUACGGGAGGCAGCAGUGAGGAAUAUUGGUCAAUGGACGAGAGUCUGAACCAGCCAAGUCGCGUGCAGGAAGAAUGUUCCCUAUGGAUUGUAAACUGCUUUUGCAGGGGAAUAAAGUGCAUCACGUGUGAUGUUUUGUAUGUACUCUGCGAAUAAGGAUCGGCUAACUCCGUGCCAGCAGCCGC